rnacentral:rRNA from 1 species
AGAGUUUGAUCAUGGCUCAGAAUCAACGCUGGCGGCGUGCCUCAGACAUGCAAGUCGAACGCGAAAGGCUCCUUCGGGGGCCGAGUAGAGUGGCGCACGGGUGAGUAACACGUAGGUAAUUUGCCUUCGGGUGGGGAAUAACAGCCGGAAACGGCUGCUAAUACCGCAUAAUGCAGCGGCUCGACAUCGAGACAGUUGUUAAAGCGGGGGAGCAGCAAUGUCCUCGCGCCUGAAGAGAAGCCUGCGGCAGAUUAGCUAGUUGGUAGGGUAAUGGCCUACCAAGGCGACGAUCUGUAACCGGCCUGAGAGGGCGGUCGGUCACACUGACACUGACAUACGGGUCAGACUCCUACGGGAGGCAGCAGUCGGGAAUUUUGGGCAAUGGGCGAAAGCCUGACCCAGCAACGCCGCGUGAAGGAUGAAAUCCCUCGGGAUGUAAACUUCGCAAGAAUGGGAAGAAUAAGUGCGGGCUAAUACCACGCACGAUGACGGUACCAUUUGUAAGCUCCGGCUAACUCCGUGCCAGCAGCGGCGGUAAUAC